AUACGUAGGGUGCGAGCGUUGUCCGGAAUUACUGGGCGUAAAGAGCUCGUAGGUGGUUUGUCACGUCGUCUGUGAAAUUCCGGGGCUUAACUCCGGGCGUGCAGGCGAUACGGGCAUAACUUGAGUACUGUAGGGGAGACUGGAAUUCCUGGUGGAGCGGUGAAAGGCGCAGAUAUCAGGAGGAACACCGGUGGCGAAGGCGGGUCGCUGGGCAGUAACUGACGCUGAGGAGCGAAAGCAUGGGUAGCGAACAGGAUUAGAUACCCUGGUAGUCCAUGCCGUAAACGGUGGGCGCUAGGUGUAGGGGUCUUCCACGACUUCUGUGCCGUAGCUAACGCAUUAAGCGCCCCGCCUGGGGAGUACGGCCGCAAGGCUAAAACUCAAAGGAAUUGACGGGG
rnacentral:rRNA from 1 species